GGGGAUUUAGCUCAGUGGCACUGCAUCUGCCUCGAAAGCAGAAGGACCUGAGUUCAAUCCCCA
rfam:Heterocephalus glaber contig143131, whole genome shotgun sequence.